AGUGAACGCUGGCGGUAGGCCUAACACAUGCCAGUCGAACGGCAGCACAGUAAGAGCUUGCUCUUACGGGUGGCGAGUGGCGGACGGGUGAGGAAUACAUCGGAAUCUACUUUUUCGUGGGGGAUAACGUAGGGAAACUUACGCUAAUACCGCAUACGACCUACGGGUGAAAGCAGGGGAUCUUCGGACCUUGCGCGAUUCAAUGAGCCGAUGUCGGAUUAGCUAGUUGGUGGGGUAAAGGCCCACCAAGGCGACGAUCCGUAGCUGGUCUGAGAGGAUGAUCAGUCACACUGGAACUGAGACACGGUCCAGACUCCUACGGGAGGCAGCAGUGGGGAAUAUUGGACAAUGGGCGAAAGCCUGAUCCAGCCAUACCGCGUGGGUGAAGAAGGCCUUCGGAUUGUAAAGCCCUUUUGUUUGGAAAGAAAAGCAGCAGGUUAAUACCCCGCUGUUCUGACGUUACCCAAAGAAUAAGCACCGGCUAACUUCGUG
rnacentral:rRNA from 1 species